AUUGAACGCUGGCGGCAUGCCUUACACAUGCAAGUCGAACGGUAACAGGUCUUCGGAUGCUGACGAGUGGCGAACGGGUGAGUAAUGCAUCGGAACGUGCCCAGUAGUGGGGGAUAGCCCGGCGAAAGCCGGAUUAAUACCGCAUACGACCUGAGGGGGAAAGGGGGGGAUCGCAAGACCUCUCGCUAUUGGAGCGGCCGAUGUCAGAUUAGCUAGUUGGUGGGGUAAAGGCCUACCAAGGCAACGAUCUGUAGUUGGUCUGAGAGGACGACCAGCGACACUGGGACUGAGACACGGCCCAGACUCCUACGGGAGGCAGCAGUGGGGAAUUUUGGACAAUGGGCGCAAGCCUGAUCCAGCAAUGCCGCGUGCAGGAAGAAGGCCUUCGGGUUGUAAACUGCUUUUGUCAGGGAAGAAAUCUUCUGGGUUAAUACCUCGGGAGGAUGACGGUACCUGAAGAAUAAGCACCGGCUAACUACGUGCCAGCCGCCGCCGUAA
rnacentral:rRNA from 1 species